AAACCAGCACCUCAAGUGGUCAGGAUGAUUAUUGGGCCUAAAGCAUCCGUAGCCGGCUCUGUAAGUUUUCGGUUAAAUCUGUACGCUCAACGUACAGGCUGCCGGGAAUACUGCAGAGCUAGGGAGUGGGAGAGGUAGACGGUACUCGGGAGGAAGUGGUAAAAUGCUUUGAUCUCUCGAUGACCACCUGUGGCGAAGGCGGUCUACCAGAACACGUCCGACGGUGAGGGAUGAAAGCUGGGGGAGCAAACCGGAUUAGAUACCCGAGUAGUCC
rnacentral:rRNA from 1 species